GUCUAUGGCCAUGCCACCUUGAACAUGCCGGAUCCCAUCUGAUCUUGGAAGCUAAGCGGGGUCGGGCCUGGUUAAUACUUGGAUGGGAGACUACCUAGGAAGACCAGGUGCAGUAGGCA
rnacentral:rRNA from 1 species